UACGGAGGUGGCAAGCGUUGUCCGGAAUUAUUGGGCGUAAAGCGCGCGCAGGCGGCCUCUUAAGUCUGAUGUGAAAGCCCCCGGCUCAACCGGAGAGGGCCAUUGGAAACUGGGAGGCUUGAGUAUAGGCGAGAUGGGUGGAAUUCCACGUGUAGCGGUGAAAUGCGUAGAGAUGUGGAGGAACACCAGUGGCGAAGGCGACUCUUUGGCCGAUAACUGACGCAGAGGCGCGAAAGCGUGGGGAGCAAACAUG
rnacentral:misc_RNA from 1 species